UACGUAGGGGGCAAGCGUUGUCCGGAAUUAUUGGGCGUAAAGAGCGUGUAGGCGGUCCGGUAAGUCAGCUGUGAAAGUCGGGGGCUCAACCCUCGAAUGCCGGUGGAUACUGUCGGGCUAGAGUGCGGAAGAGGCGAGUGGAAUUCCGUGGUGUAGCGGUGAAAUGACGCAGAUAUCAGGAGGAACACCAAUUGCGAAGGCAGCUCGCUGGGACGUAACUGACGCUGAGACGCGAAAGCGUGGGGGAGCAAACAGG
rnacentral:rRNA from 1 species